GAUGAACGCUGGCGGCGUGCCUAAUACAUGCAAGUCGAGCGAAGCGGGGACGGGUGAGUAACACGUGGAUAACCUCCUAUAAGACUGGGAUAACUUCGGGCAACCGGAGCUAAACCGGAUGCUUAUAGAUGGAUCCGCGCUGCAUACUCGAGUUGGUAAGGUAACGCCUUACCAAGGACACGAUGCAUAGCCGACCUGAGGGGGGGGUCGGCCAAACGCUAACGGCACCAGGGCCCAUACUCCUACGUGAGGCAGCAGUAGGGAAUCUUCCGCAAUGGGCGAAAGCCUUACGGUGCAACUCCGCGUGAGUGAUUAAGGUCUUCGGAUCGUAAAACUCUGUUAUUAGGGAUGCGGUACCGAAUCAGAGAGCCACGGCUAACUACGUGCCAGCAGCCGCGGUAAUAC
rnacentral:rRNA from 1 species